rnacentral:rRNA from 1 species
AUUGAACGCUGGCGGCAGGCCUAACACAUGCAAGUCGAACGGUAACAGAAAACAGCUUGCUGUUUCGCUGACGAGUGGCGGACGGGUGAGUAAUGUCUGGGAAACUGCCUGAUGGAGGGGGAUAACUACUGGAAACGGUAGCUAAUACCGCAUAACGUCGCAAGACCAAAGAGGGGGACCUUCGGGCCUCUUGCCAUCGGAUGUGCCCAGAUGGGAUUAGCUAGUAGGUGGGGUAACGGCUCACCUAGGCGACGAUCCCUAGCUGGUCUGAGAGGAUGACCAGCCACACUGGAACUGAGACACGGUCCAGACUCCGACGGGAGGCAGCAGUGGGGAAUAUUGCACAAUGGGCGCAAGCCUGAUGCAGCCAUGCCGCGUGUAUGAAGAAGGCCUUCGGGUUGUAAAGUACUUUCAGCGGGGAGGAAGGGAGUAAAGUUAAUACCUUUGCUCAUUGACGUUACCCGCAGAAGAAGCACCGGCUAACUCCGUGCCAGCCGCCGCCGUAA